GCAUUCAAGUGAAAAGGUGAGAAGAAGAAAUUUUCUGUUUCCGUGGCUUUUGCAAGGGUGCAGUUCCUUGUUUAGCUGGCAAAAUUGUUGUGCCAAACAUAGCUAUUAUGUCCCUGAAGUGCCAUGAAUUGUCAAAAAAAGUACCCUGAGACUGCUCCACUUCUUUUACACUGACAGGGCACUUGUGUGGUGGCCUUUCACCAUACUUUGGUUCUGUACAUAUUCUGUUCUUCAGGGCAAACAAUGAGCUAACUAGCCUACAGCAAUAGUCCAUUUUGUUUGGCAGUUACUUCUCUGCAUAAAUUAAAAAGUCGACAGCCUAGUUUAUAAAACAAACCCAUGGGAGCCUUCAAUAUUAUCAGGGUUCUUCGUAUUACAUGACCUCAGUAUAGGCUCAAUUGGUUCCUUGGAAAAUGACAGGAUUGACUCAGAAAGGAGGAAUGACAGGCACAGAGCAGGCAUGCUCUCAGGACAUGGAAUCUGGGUUCUACCUUUAUUGCUUAGGGCCUUCCUCCAUGUGUGAAAAUGCUCAGGUGUGAACAGAACUCCCAAGUCUCAAGGAGGAAAGAAACUACUUCUCAAGUUCAGCAGUGAAAAUCCUAAAGGUAAGAUGGCUUGGUUUGCUUAGAUUGUACACUCAUGCAUUGAGAAGGUGAAACAGGUAUAAUGUGGAGAUUGGCCCCCUGUAGGAUCACCUGGAUGAGAAUCUCCUUCCAAAAUAAGAGCAAGGACUAGUCAGAGUCACUACCUUGGUUUACCACAAACCAAUUAUGCUUAAUGCCUAAGAAUAACAGAUGCCACUGAAGCUGAACUCAGAGCAUGGAAAUAUCCACAUUCCAUACCCAGAUGGAACCGUGCUCCUUCUAAAGAACAAUUCGUGCUUGUUUUUGUUGAUGCAUUGUGUAGUAGCGCAAGUGGCAGAAGCCAUAGUGAGUCUUUAAGAAAGGUGACUCCUCAAGGUAAGUGGUUUGCUGAGGUGAAAAAAAAAAAAAUCUAGUGACCACUAAAUGAAAAGGUAUAUGGAUGUCAUUGUCACUGUUGUCCUGCCCAGGAUGCAUUCAUGUAUUCUGCAAUACCAAAACAAAACCACAAAGGAUGUUGUGUGUGUGUGUGUGUGUGUGUGUGUGUGUGUGUGUGUGUGUGUGUGUUUAUCCCUGUUCUGGGUUCCCAGGAUUUGGAAUCAACAACAUUCCAGGUCUCAGAAGAGGAAGAGCAUCCUCAGAGCAUUCACAGCAACCUGUGCACUCAGCAGAGGCAGCUGGUGGACCCUAACCAAUUGUUCUCACCAAACUCAAAAUUGCUUUCUAGAGAGAGAGCACCAGAACCUAUAUGAAGUUACAGAAAACAGUCUCAGUGACUAACAGUUUCAUUUGGCAUAAAUUAAAUCCGAGAUUACAUAGGCAGAUCAAAAUAUACCCAUUAAUAUACCUGCUAAAUAGACAGUUAAAAGCAUGAUCAAAAAUACAAAAAUUGAAGGUUAGGCAUGAAAAAAAAAAGGCAAUUGAGAUGUGUUAACUCCUUCCAGCCUAGCAAGGCUGGCUGUGACCAUCCGCCGCGCUUGAGCAGAGCCACCUGCUGUGCUGCUCUUUUUGGUGUGCCACUACCUGCCUGAGGCCCAACCUGCAAGAGGUUAAACCGGUUCUCUUCCAAGAAUCUUCCGGAGUUAACACCGAACUGCGAUCUUUUGUGAGUUCCCUCUAAAAGGCUGACCUAUCUACUUCAAAGGAACUUUGCUUGGCCAGGGACGGGCUUCCCCUUUUCUUUAUAAAGUGUGUUUGCUGACAUUAAAAUUAAACCUUGAACAGAAAGCUUGUCUUGGUUCCUUCCUUAUCUCGCGCAGCCCAGCCCUUCUUCUCUUCCAAGUUUCCAAAGUGCCUUUCCAGACUAGAACCCAGGUCUGUGAUCUGCUGGCCGGACACAACAGAGAUGUGAAGACCAAAUAUCUGUGACGUACUUUGGAUUUGCUUUUGAGCAAGGAACAGUGAUUUUGGCAUUAUGUCUUCCCUUGUGAAAGGGUCCUAGCGAACACGUAGCUUCUAGGAUCUUUCCCUCUGUUAGUUCCGUUAUGCCAGGUCAAUGCUUAACAUUUCCAGGAUCGCUGUGUCCGUCGGUCUUGAAAGAGUAGUAAACUCAGUGCUCCAAGGUAUGCUAAUCAUAAAACAGAUAGCGACAUUCCUCCACCCACCCGCUUCCUGUGUUAAAAGAGUGUUAAUUCAAAGAAAGUCACCCUGACCAUUACCAGAACCUGCAAUGCAAAUGUGCUAUUGUUAGGGGCUCUUAGAAGCUGCCUUGAGAGUUAACAAUUACCAGGUAUUCCUUGUGACACCUGUGACUUUGUACUUCCUUGUGACUCUUAACUGGUAUUUUUGGUAUUUUCCAACAACGCCCUUCCCACCUCCUUGAGUUGUGGUUUUUUCCUUUAAAUACCCCCUUACUCAGCUACUCCGGGCGCCAAGGUCCUCUACCCCUGCGUGGUGUAUGACCAUGGGCCCGAGAGUGCUCUUGAAUAAAAAAAUCCUCUUGCAAUUUGCAGCAAGACCGUUUAUUGUGCGUGAUUUUGGGGUGUCGCCUCUCCUGAGUCAGAACGUGGGGGUGUCCUCACGUUGUGGGUCUUUCAGUCUCCAUGUGCACUCUUAUUUAUAAGGACUGUGGGAACGUUGGGGUAGAAAUCCUGUCUCCAUGCUAAACUAUCCUCUGUCACCAAUUUAUGCAACAGUGAUAAGUAUAAGAUUUAAGCAAGCCCUGCUGAGUCCUGUGUCCUCCAUGUUUCCCAGUGUGAGGAGCACUGAGCACAGAGUAAGACUUGGUUCUUGCUUUUAGGGAGAAGUGUGCUGAGCAGUGGUUUCUCUUCAGCAUCGAGUCAGGGGUUAUAGACCUGGUCCCACGAGCUCAGAACAGGAAUACAAAAACCGAGAGGGAGGUGGAAAGUGGACCCUGCUUAUGUUUCUGUUUUGUCUUGAACAAUGUAAAUGUGUUACCUAUUCGGAUAUAUAAAUCCAAAGUACUAUUGAAAACAAACUUCAAAUCAUCAUAGAAUUUGCUUUGUUUUGUGCUGCCGAGAAUGAAACUCACAACAAAUGUGAACAGGCAUUCUGCUGCUAAAGUCUAUGCCAUAUCUAAGGCUGGAUUGUUCAUUUCUCAGCUGGAAGCCCCUAUGAUUAGUCAGACUCCCUUUUUAAAGUAGAUGUCUACCUUGUCUUGAUCUGAGAAUUCCUGACAUCCUCCUCACAGGGAUGCAGGAAAAGGCAUGGGUCUGGAAGUGGUGUGAUCAUGGCUAUCCUCAGGUCUUUGCCCAGAUUCAGCCACCUGGCUACCUGUGCCUUAAGAAAGCCAGGGACAGGCUGGAGAAAAGACUCAGCGGAUAAGAGCACUGACUGCUCUGCCAGAGGUCCUGAGAUCAAUUCCCAGCAACCACAUGGUGGCUCACAAUCACCUGUAAUGAGGAUCCCAUGCCCUCCUCUGGUGUGUCUGAAGACAGCUACAGUGUACUCACAUACAUGAAGCAAAUAAAUAAAUCUAAGAAAGAAAGAAAGAAAGAAAGAAGGAAGGAAGGAAGGAAGGAAGGAAGGAAGGAAGGAAGGAAAGAAAGAAAGAAAGAAAGAAAGAAAGAAAGAAAGAAAGAAAGAAAGAAAGAAAGAAAGAAAGAAAGAAAGAAAGAAAGAAAGAAAAAGUCAGGGACAAGAUUGGCAAACAAGUCUGCCUCUAACACCAGUGAGAAGGCCUAGAACAUGAAAACUGCUACACCAAGGAGGAUGGCUCCUUUUCACUGCAUCCCAGCUAAAAUCCUCUUGUCUGGAAACACCUUUCCAGUUAUUGAAUGGUAACCUUUCGUUACCUUGGAGCUAUUUCAUAAUCAGUGGUGAUUCACAUUGCACACGGCAACUGAAAUGCAAAUGGAUUGCGUAGUGGAGGGAAAACCUUCUUUUUCUGUAGGAAAAGCCUCUCAUGAGGCCAUUUGAAAAUUCAUUUCUAUAUUCCUGAUUUAUAAAUGGUAUGUACCCUCUGGAUUCUCCCUUGAACCCACUAUAAUAUCUUUUUGACAAUGAAUUAAAUUAGAUAUUUAGCAUGCACCCCCCACCCCCUGCCUUUAUCUGUGUGACGGUCAUGAUUCUAACCUCUUGAAAGGCAUCCUGUACCAUCAGUAAUUGCUGAGGACUUGCACAGCUGGCUUUCAUCAAGCUAUCACGUUGUCUUUCUCUGUUUUGUUUGUUUUCUUUUCUCCCUGAGUUAUGCCAAGCAACAUCUCCAGAAAGUCUAUGACACAGCAUAGCAUAAAAACCAGGGAACGAAACAAUCUUACUAUCUUUCCCUUCCACCCCCAGCCCAACUGUUGGGAUGCUUUUCCGGGAUACUAUCAACAGAAAGCAUGCUCUGCUGACAUUUCAAACUCCCACAGAAAGCCCUGUGAAUUUUCUGAGAAGGCCAUAUUUGCAAGGUUUGUUCAACAAAGAGGUUGGAUAAUCAUCUUGGAUUAAACCUUCAAAGCAGCAGGCUUUUGGCUACCCCCCACCCCUAUACCAUGAUUAACCUGGGAACCUUUUGAAACCCUCUUUCUUAUCAUAAUGUGUUUUGUGAAGCCAUCAGUUAUCCACGAGAGACACUUCUGUAACCAUGCUUCUUUAUAUGUUUCCUUUAAUUAGCACUCCCUUUAUUUUGCACAAAACUUCCUGUAUUGAAACUUUAUCUUCAAAGGAAUUUUGUAUGAAGUAUUAAAGAAUUAGGCAACUAAUGGAAAAUACAUUUCUCCUACUGAUAACAUAUCAAAAUCUGUUAGACUACUCAUUAAUUUCUAGCUGCUUAGCCUCCAGGAAGCUUGGAGCCAGGUUUGAGGCUUGACUUUAAUAACUCUGUAGGGCCUACUUCUCUGCACUACCAUUCUCCAAUGUUAGCCUUGGAUCCUAACUUAUAUUUAAUAUAUUCCAGGUUUCAUUUACUUCUAGUUUAUUUCUAUUUUAUUGUACCUGUUUUAUAAAUCACAUAUAUAAAGAUACAAAGAAUAUACUUACGUAAGUGAACUGUACAGUUCUCUGUAAUGUUAUGAAAAAUUCAGAGAAAUCACAGAUUCUCAUGUUAUACCACUUUCCUGGCAUGUUUCAUUCAGAGACAACAGAGCAUCCACUUUGAGGCAUUUCAUUUAACUUGCCCAUGUGCUGUAUAAUUGUGGAAUAUAUCAGUUAUCGUUAGAAUCUAAAACAGGACAGUUAUGAUGAAUCUAGAUUAUCAAUUGGAUGGGUUAUGAGUUGUUGUGGUAAAAUCUCCAACCCAAAUAUUCCCUGGCAAUGAAAACACAACUCAAUUAAUAUGAAUACAUGCUGUGCGCCUAGAUUGGGCAGCUCUACCGCUACACUACCAUCUUCCACAUCUAUGAGACCCCUUAGAACUUGCAGUUUCUCCAGGCCAUGUGCUUUUGCUCCAUUUUUCUUCUUCCUCCUCCUCUGUGUCCUCUCUCUCUCUCUUCCAUUUUCUCCUUCUUCUCUCUCCCCACCUUCCACCCUGCUCCACCUUCCCUUUAUCUGCACAAUCAUCAGUUCUCCUUUAUUUUACAAAUUAAGGUGGGAAACAGCUUUACAGGAGAUAUAAAUCUAUAACUUGAGCAUGGUUUUCCCAGAGGCUGGGAAAUGCAAUCACCAAGUGAGGUCGAGGCUCUGUCUCCUAGUCCCUGAGGAAAGCAGGAGCCUAACACCAAUGAAACUCUAGUCAGAGCACAGAGAUGGCUAAAAUCACACUGACUGGCAGGCUCAUCUUGUGCUAUCCUUUAAUAUCUUUCCUUUAACACACUACAAAAUUGAAAAGACAGCUUGAUCGACGCCCCGCCCCCCAGGGGAGUUGAGCUCUAUUUGUACUAGAGUCUCCCUCUCUUACCGUAGAAACGUGAAUCAAAGCUCUUACAAACUCUAUGGCUGAAGUAGGAUUCUUAAGUUCAUUAAAAUCACUUACUUCAAGAUUUGGCCAUCAUUAUAUUUUUCAUUCAGACUCAGUCUAGCAAAAUGAAGCCUCCACGAGCAUUUAUAAAUGUUUGUAAAAUGUUUUUGGUGUUGUCUGUUAUCCUAUUAUAGCCCUAUUCCUGAAGAAUGGCAUGUACUUCAAAUUAAUAAUAGCCAAAACAAUGGAUUUUGUGACUAAAAAGAACAAAAACUAUAUACAUAUAUAGGCCAUAGAGAAGACCCUGGGAACGGGUCCUGCAUAACCCAUAGUGGGAGGCAGGACUUCUCUUAGUGAUGAGGUAUGAUUGUCUUAUGCUUUGCAGAAGUUCGUUUUUUUUUCUUCCUUCCUUCCUUCCUUCCUUCCUUCCUUCCUUCCUUCCUUCCUUCCUUUCUCUCUCUCUCUCUCUCUCUUUCUUUCUUUCUUUCCUUCUCUCUUCCUUUCUUUGUUUUUAAGUUUCAGUCUUGCUGAAAGACUGAGCGAGGCUAACCUACUAUGAAAGAUUUCUAUCCAUAGCUCUUCAAUAUGAGUUCAUUCUUCUUCUCUUGAAACAUUAGGGGACUCCACUCAUCCUGCUUAAACCAGAGAUAGCAAAACCACACAGCAGGUCUGCAACUGUGCUCUGUGAGAACCCUGCUUGGCUUAGAAUAUUUUUUUUUGUAGCUCACCAUUGUAGAACACAGACCUAGAAUAGCACAUGUGUUUCCAACAGCCUGCUCUACAUGAGCAUAGGCCAUCAAGGACCAGGGUCUACCUUUUGUGCUUUCCCAAGAGGAGGAUCUCAGUGCUUCUAACACUAAGAUCUGGUCCCUCUGCCUACCUCCCAAGACUGUUCCUGCAGCCCAUCCCUCAGGGAGUAAAUGACAUUCAUAGAACACGAAGCAUUAAACAGGAAGGAAAAAUACAAACUGGUGCUAAAUAAAUCCAGAGUAAGAGGCUUAUGCUAGUAAGAGUCUCAGAAAGUGAGGUUCCAAGGGGGAUAUUGAACACAUUGUCCCAUUGUAUAUGUGAUUUAUGAAAGGCAUCCUUAAUGCCAUGUAAGCACAGCAUGGUAUAUGGGAAACGAUGAGGAGAGUUCAAGCCUAUGACACUAAGUGGGUACUCCUCUACGAGACUGAAGACAUAGAUCCCAUGCCAUGUGAUUGAUUGAUAAGUAGUCCAUAUAUGUUCUUAUAGUUAGAAUAUCUCUGAUUUCUAGGCAGCAGGAGCAAUGAUAAAGGUUUGCAUUUUAACUAACACAUGUCCUUCAUACAGGAUAUGUUUAGGAUCUCAGGUUGGGGAGAGUGAGAGAGGAGAGAUGAGAGAUGCAAAGAGAGAGACAGAGAGAGAGAGACAGAGAGAGACAGAGACACAGACACAGACACACAGAAAGGAGAGAGAGGGAGACAGAAACAGAGGGACAGAGAGACAUAGAGAGAUACAAAAGGGAGAGGAAAGAGACAGAGAGACAUUUACAGAGAGACAGAGAGGAGAGAGAGAGAGAGAGAGAGAGAGAGAGAGAGAGAGAGAGAAGCUAGAGGUUGAGUAUGGCACCAAGUAGCUCCUAACAGUCAGUGGAAAUGUUUCCUGUCAUGUUUCAGGGAUUCUCAAAGCCAUUAUGUCCUACAGUGUACUAUAAAAUAAAGUGUGGAUCUCACAAGCAGAAAUAUUCCUUUGACAUUUUGUAUGAUCAGUGAACUGCAGAGAAAUGCAAACAAAACAAAGCAGAGUCAUAUCCUCCUCCGAGGUGUCGAGAAUACCCACAAACUGAUCUGUGUUGAACUCAUCUAAAGAUUUUAGAAAUGACACAAUUAUUAAUUUUGUCCAUUUAGAAAAUGAAUUGGUUACAGACUGUGUAUGUAUUUUAAAUUCAACAGCUAUUUCUUUAUAUUUAUAUUAUCAUUAAUAUUCUAAGCUACAUCAAUUCUGUUAUUAUUAAAUAAUGUUACAGUUCCUUGAAAGUGUAGUAUUUCUGGUAAAAAACAAAAAACAAAAAAACAAUGAGAGUUUUAUUCAAUGUGGACUCUGUAAAGAACAACAGAUAGAGGGGUUCAAUGACCCCAAGUCUUUUUUUUUUUUUCAGAAAUGUGGGUCAUAGGACAAAUAAUAUUCCAAUUUAAAAAUAAAAUUAAAUCCUGCUUAGAUAUCUUUUACUCUGAAUGCACACUGAAUUGCUUUACUCUCUGAGAUCUGACCCUCGCUUUAAAGAAUAUUUCUUUACAUAUGGGUCUCAUCAUUGACAGUUUGGACUCCAAGUGAUUUGGCUCCAGGUUUUUCAUUGUUCUGCUUCUCUAGCUGUGUUAAAAAGGUUCAGGUCUUGCUUAGAGGACUAGUUACAGAGUUAUUUCUGGACUCAUAACCUUCAAACUCAGGCAAGACUGGCCUGUUCUGCAUGACCUCAGUUUCUGUCCUUACACAAAUCCUCUUUGAGCCAUGUGGCUCUUUUCAUAGUAAACUAUAAUAUGCGUUUUUCAGGAUUAAUCUCAUUUAUGCUUCAGCCCUAGGCAAGGAACCACAGGCAGCUAAGGAAUGCUGAGAAUAGGAAGAACUCGUCCAUCCAAUUGGUCAUAUCCGAAAUCAUAUACAUAUGGGUAACAUUUGAACAGUAAGUGGAUUGAGUAUGUUAUAUUUAUAUGUUCAGUAGCACACACACAAAACAACUAAAUAGAGGCCAUACAUUUGGGAGUAAGCAGGCUUACAUAGGUACAAAGGGUAGAAGAAGGCAAAUUAUGUAUAUUAAUUUUAAAAAUUAAAGAAAUUACCUGAAGAUGUUAACAUAUUUUAGGAACGCAUGGCUGAUGGAAUAGAUAGUCUACACAUUUUUUUUGUUUUUGUGUUUUUAACUUUUUAUUUUUUUUUAAUUAGGUAUUUAUUUCAUUUACAUUUCCAAUGCUAUCCCAAAAGUCCCCCAGCCCCCCCCCCCCACUCCCCUACUCACCCACUCCCACUUCUUGGCCCUGGCGUUCCCCUGUACCGGGGCAUAUAAAGUUUGCAAUACCAAGGGACCUCUCUUUCCACUGAUGGCCAACUAGGCCAUCUUCUGAUACAUAUGCAGCUAGAGACACGAGCUUGGGGGGGGGGGGCAUUGGUUAGUUCAUAUUGUUGUUCCACCUAUAGGAUUAGUCUAUACAUUUUUAAUUUUAAGAAAAACAUUAUUUUAUAUCUCUUAUGUGCCAGAUGAUGUACUGCCCAUGAUUUAUUUAAUCUUUAGAUGCUACAUGGGGUUUUGUGAUCUUGGUCUGGGAGAAAUGCCUUUAUAAGUGGCUGUAGCUUACUAUGUUGGUAGUAUAGUUACUCUCGAUCAUUGGAAUGUUGAAGUUGGCGGAACAUGACUGAAAAAUUAGGAUUAGUAGAAGUCCUUGGAGUUUGGAGGCUGUUAUGGUUAAUAUAGAAGCAUAUUUUCAGGAUCAUGGUUCCUUCGUUGCUGCUGCUUGCACUACCAUGGCCGGUGCGUCCAGGACCACUCCAGAGGUGCUGGGAGCUGCUACAACGGCAAGUGCAGCAGAGCUGCAGUUGCUUUGCCAGUCCUCCGUGGGCACCAGCAUUAGCAGUCCAGAGUCCAUCCGUCCUCACAGAAGUAGCACAUGAUACCAGUGAAAAUAAAGAGAAUUCCAGCUUUUUAGAUAGUAUCUUUUGGAUGGCAGCUCCCCAAAACAGACACACCAUCGAAGUUAACCGAUGUAGGAGAGGAAACCCUCAAAAGCUUAUUAAAAUUAAGAACAAUAUAGACAUUUGCCCUGAAUGUGGUUACCUGAAGCAGAAACAUGUCCUUUGUGACUACUGCUAUGAGAAAGUACGCCAGGAGACGACAAAAAUCAGACAACAAAUAGGGGCUCAAGAAGGAGGUCCUUUCGAAGCUCUUCCGUUGAGACUAUGGUACUGUACACAGGAGAGAAACCAUAAGAAAAGGAUCAGGGCAAGAGGACUGUUGAAAGAAACAUAAAGAGGCCAUCUUGGUUCACCCAGAACUGAACUAAAAAAAUGUUAAAAAGAUAAUUUCAGAGUUAGGCACCUACUUAAAAUCAGGAGUCUUCAUUUUCAUGUUGUGCCUGUUUUCAAAUUAUCCAUGUAUUUUAAAAUGGAUUUUGUUAGUUGUUACUUUUAAAUGAGGUAAUUUGAAGUCUGUAUCAUGAAUAAACUCAGCAUGUUUAUGUAAAAAAAG
rnacentral:lncRNA from 1 species